rnacentral:rRNA from 1 species
UGAGCAAUCUGCCCUUCACAUCGGAAUAACCAUUGGAAACGAUGGCUAAUACCGAAUAUGACUUCGGAUCGCAUGAUCUGAAGUGGAAAGCUCCGGCGGUGAAGGAUGAGCUCGCGGCCUAUCAGCUUGUUGGUGAGGUAAUAGCUCACCAAGGCGAUGACGGGUAGCCGGCCUGAGAGGGUGACCGGCCACACUGGGACUGAGACACCGGCA